rnacentral:rRNA from 1 species
ACGAAAUGCUGACAACACCUAGGAGGAUCCUGAGUACGGCGGAACACGAGAAAUUCCGUCGGAAUCCGCGGGGACCAUCCCGCAAGGCUAAAUACUCCCUAGUGACCGAUAGUGAACCAGUACCGUGAGGGAAAGGUGAAAAGCACCCCGGAAGGGGAGUGAAAUAGAUCCUGAAACCGUGUGCCUACAACAAGUCAAAGCUCGUUAAUGAGUGAUGGCGUGCCUUUUGUAGAAUGAACCGGCGAGUUACGAUUGCAUGCGAGGUUAAGUCGAAGAGACGGAGCCGCAGCGAAAGCGAGUCUGAAUAGGGCGAAUGAGUAUGUAGUCGUAGACCCGAAACCAUGUGAUCUACCCAUGUCCAGGUUGAAGGUGCGGUAAAACGCACUGGAGGACCGAACCCACGUACGUUGAAAAGUGCGGGGAUGAGGUGUGGGUAGCGGAGAAAUUCCAAACGAACUUUCCGUAGUCGAAAGGGAAACAGCCCAGACCACCAGCUAAGGUCCCAAAAUAUAUGUUAAGUGGAAAAGGAUGUGGGGUUGCACAGACAACUAGGAUGUUGGCUUAGAAGCAGCCACCAUUUAAAGAGUGCGUAAUAGCUCACUAGUCGAGUGACCCUGCGCCGAAAAUGUACCGGGGCUAAACAUAUUACCGAAGCUGUGGACUACACCAUUAGGUGUAGUGGUAGGAGAGCGUUCUAAGGGCGUUGAAGGUCGAUCGUGAGGACGGCUGGAGCGCUUAGAAGUGAGAAUGCCGGUAUGAGUAGCGAAAGACAGGUGAGAAUCCUGUCCACCGUAUGACUAAGGUUUCCUGGGGAAGGCUCGUCCGCCCAGGGUUAGUCGGGACCUAAGCCGAGGCCGAUAGGCGUAGGCGAUGGACAACAGGUUGAUAUUCCUGUACCAGUUGUUUUUGUUUGAGCAAUGGAGGGACGCAGUAGGCUAAGGAAUGCAUGCGAUUGGAAGUGCAUGUCCAAGCAAUGAGUCUUGAGUAGAGUUAAAUGCUUUACUCUCUAAGGACAAGUUGUGACGGGGAGCGAAAUAAUAGUAGCGAAGUUCCUGAUGUCACACUGCCAAGAAAAGCUUCUAGUGAGAAAACAACUGCCCGUACCGUAAACCGACACAGGUAGUCGAGGAGAGUAUCCUAAGGUGAGCGAGCGAACUCUCGUUAAGGAACUCGGCAAAAUGACCCCGUAACUUCGGGAGAAGGGGUGCUGACUUCGGUCAGCCGCAGUGAAUAGGCCCAAGCGACUGUUUAUCAAAAACACAGGUCUCUGCAAAAUCGUAAGAUGAAGUAUAGGGGCUGACGCCUGCCCGGUGCUGGAAGGUUAAGAGGAUGGGUUAGCUUCGGCGAAGCUCAGAAUUGAAGCCCCAGUAAACGGCGGCCGUAACUAUAACGGUCCUAAGGUAGCGAAAUUCCUUGUCGGGUAAGUUCCGACCCGCACGAAAGGCGUAACGAUUUGG